GGGCUUGGGUUGGUUUUGACAGCAAGGUAAAUGGUCAAGCAAGCACGCAGUUACACGCAACAGUUAACUUUAAUCCUGGUUGCAGAAAAAUUAAUUGGCGAAAAUACUUACGCUCUUGCUGCAUAACCGAAGUAUAGUAAGUUAUUCUUUAUCGGCACAAGGUGCUGAGCAGGACGUCUCUCCAAGGCUGUCAACUCUAAGCUGAGGAAAUAGAGAUGCAUCAUAAAUCGAGUUUAGUUUGCAAUCUUCUCCGUAUUGCAGAUGAAUGAAAAUUUAGGAGAUAAGAAAAGAGAGAAGUUGUCUGUCUAUUGCUCUUUUCCGACAACCUUAGAUAGAAUAAGCGUGUAGAAAACUUGGGUGUUUCUUGUUUGGACCAGGGUUCGAAUCCCUGCAGGUCCACAU
rnacentral:tmRNA from 1 species